UACGGGGGGGAGCAAGCGUUGUUCGGAUUUACUGGGCGUAAAGGGUGCGUAGGCGGGUCUUUAAGUCAGGGGUGAAAUCCUGGAGCUCAACUCCAGAACUGCCUUUGAUACUGAAGAUCUUGAGUUCGGGAGAGGUGAGUGGAACUGCGAGUGUAGAGGUGAAAUUCGUAGAUAUUCGCAAGAACACCAGUGGCGAAGGCGGACUCACUGG
rnacentral:rRNA from 1 species